CAGAGGUCUGUAGGAGGACUUAGCACAGUUUAGAGUGCUCCAUAUGAAACCAGCAAAGACAGCUAAGGGGACUGUGAUAACCAUGCGGUAAUUGAUCCCAAAGACUCUUCUCCAGGAUUUGACCAGGAAGGCCAGAAACCAGGCCUCAGAUGGUAUGAAAUCCCAGCCUGCACAUUGCCGCCAAGAGCCUCUUGGCAACUGGAGAAUGACAAGGUCAAGGACAUCAAAGCCAGAGAAGUCCCCACCUCUACUGGAAAUGGACUGCCAGGGUCUGAGCUCAGAGACUCCAGAGACCCAGAGCCAGGGCAGAGAAAGGACUUCAGUGUGGAAGACUCUGCCCUCCUGUGAGUC